AUGGAGUAUUGUGUGUAGAUGGGUGGGAAAGAAAUAUUGAAUCCAUUUUGAAUUCAGGAAGUAACGCAACAAAAUAUGGAACAAGCAAUGGGUGCUAAAUGACGUAAAUAGAAUACUCUGUAUUGGGAACAAGUUCUGAUUGAACACUGGGCGGAGACCAACAAGAGGCUAACAAAACAAGAGGCACAGUCCCAUGUCCCAAUUUAGAAGCAAGGCAAUACGUGAAGGCUUGAAAUCCGUCGCGUCUUGUGUAAAUAUUAGCCUUGGCAGGUUCCACAACCCUCAUAUCCCUGGCCUCCCAUUCAUUGGCUGUCAAGAAACCCUCUGCUCAUCUUUCUUCUCCUGCGAUGAACUGAAAGGGAUGUUUCCACCCAAUGGAACUCAAUAGAAUGCCUUUACCGUUGAACGAGUGGAUUACUCAAAUCGAUGGCGCCAACUAAACUGACUUUUUGGGACAUAAAGAAGGAUUUAAUCUAACAAAACGACACUACAUGUUAUAGCUGGGACCCUUUGGAUGACAAAUCAGAGGAAGAUUUUCAAAAAACACAGAGUAGUAGACAUAUGCCUUCCGCACCACAGUAAAGCGCGGGUGGAGGGCCAUGCAGAGGAAGCCUCUCUCAUCCCCCGCCCAGGGCGAGGUGAGCACUGCUUUGGUCAGGUUGAGGAAGGGCCGG